UUUGGAUGUGAAGUGCCAGGAAGAAGAAGAGGGAACCAGAGUCGAGUAGUUUUAAAAUCCUUCAAGUGAAAAAGGAGAUUAUUUCCCGUUGCGAUCUCUUCAACUUUUCCUCUUUGACCCGGG
rnacentral:lncRNA from 1 species